GUUAUCUGAAAAGAACUGUUGCGGUAGAAUAAAACGGACAUUUCUUGCUGAGUCUCGUUUGAUAAAGGGGGAAGUUAAUGUGCUAACUGCUAAGCUAAUAUCGUUGAGUCGCUGGAUCAGGGAUACCGUUGCUUCCCGGAAAUGACGUUGUACGUGUAGGAUUGUUUAGUUUUUUGGGACGAGGACUUCAUCUCUGCUGUCUGCUGGUUUCAUCUAUAGGACCACACACUGUUCCUCAAGGAAUGACACUCCACUUUGAGGCCAGGGCCGUGUGCUGUCACCAUGCCGGGGUCUCCAACCAGCCCCGGGUCUCCCACUCGCACGUUGAAGGGGCUUCCAGGAAUGUGGCAUCCGUUGAACUUGACAUCUAUGGCAUGAACGCCGUUCUCUCGUGGAAUGAAGCGGAUUACAUUCUUGUCUGAACACAACACAAAAAACAACUGGGGAGAUCGGUGCGUACCGCUGUCAAGCUCAGUGACAUAGCAUUCUUCAGAAGAGCCGGAGGGGGUGUGAACUUUGGCGUCAACGACACCUCGAGCCCCAUUGCGUUGCACCAUGAAGGAUGCCUCUUGAUUUACCUUCAAGUCCUUCUCCUGCAAAAGACAGGGAAGAAUAUGAUCAGAAAAUAUGUGCGUGCAUGUGUGUGUGCCCGCAUCUCUAGGGACACAAAGUGUGUGACUCAUCGUGCCUGAACUAGAAUAGAUUUAACGGUUGGGUGUAAGAGGCAGAAAAGGUCAGAGUUUACAGCGAGGCGUUUAGUGUUUUUGCCCUACAGGCGUACGAGCUGUCCUGCCUGACAUAAGAGGCAGUGUGACAUUGUAAACGUUGGUCUGAUAUUGCACUUCAUCCGGCUUCAAGUGGUAGAAAAGCACUCUGAAGAGGCAUUUCAGUCAGGUAAAAAUAUAUGUUUGCAGCAUUGUUGGCAAUUGUAAUGGAAACUGAAAGCAAAUAAAACAAGCAUCUGUAACGCAGAGAGCAAUAUUGUGAGCUGUCACAGAUAUCUAUAAAGAAGUCAUUAUCUUGCACUUGCUGUUUUCUUGCCUUUCUCCUCUCAGUUAGAGACACAAUUGAAAACACAGACACAGAAUCACUAAGACUCGCUGCCCGCCCACACAUAGCACAGCUUGUGAUGCCCAACAUUAGCAAGGGACAGUUAAUCCAGCCCUUCAUCACUGGCCAGCAUCACAGUAUUAUAGCUCCAGCUCUGGCAUUAAAUUACGCUUCAAGGGCGAAUGCUAUUAGACAGAACUAUCUACAGCCACUCUAACCAUGUAACAUACAACCUGUUUUUUUACACCUGAUAUUUUGUGCAUGUGCUGUGUCUGCUUUUAAUGCUAAUGUGGCUUUGGUUCACUUUGUGCGUGUGUGUGUGUGUAAUCUUACCUGAACGCUAGUAACAGUGAGCCUGCUGGCCUCGUCUGACAGUGUAGCGAUUGGAACGAUGAAUGGACUGUCAGGGAUGUGCUCGUUGUUGAACUUGAUUGACACCUCGUAGUCACCUGGGGAACAGACAGAUUAUUUACUUUCACCAACAAAAGAACUGUAAGGAAGUAUGAAAGAAGUACUGAAAAGGUUAGCAGCUUAGAGACAAAAAGCACUUGGAAACAACUUAAAAUCAGGGACCUUCUUCUCUUGGGGGCAACAAAUGUUUUACCUGGUUCUUUCACUAUGUAGGA